CAGCUGGAUAGAGCAUCCGCCUUCUAAGCGGACGGUCGGGGGUUCGAAUCCCUCCUGUGA
rnacentral:tRNA from 1 species